rnacentral:misc_RNA from 1 species
GUACUCUCAAGCUUUGCUUGGUGUUGGGUGUUUGUCCUUGCCUCUGCGUUUGGACUCGCCUUAAAUGAAUUGGCAGCCGAUGUAUUGGUUUGAAGCGCAGCACAAUUUGCGGUUCUGACUGGUUAUCAUUAGCGUCCAUGAAGCACAAUUAACAC